rnacentral:rRNA from 1 species
UUCUUAUGGAGAGUUUGAUCCUGGCUCAGAGUGAACGCUGGCGGCGUGCCUAAUACAUGCAAGUCGAACGAUGAAGCUUCUAGCUUGCUAGAAGUGGAUUAGUGGCGCACGGGUGAGUAAUGCAUAGGUUAUGUGCCCUUUAGUCUGGGAUAGCCACUGGAAACGGUGAUUAAUACUGGAUACUCCCUACGGGGGAAAGGGGCUUUCAAUAAAGAAUUUCUCUUUUUAGUGCUUUGUGUUGUUGGCACAAAAUUCUAGUAUUUGGAAUGAGAAAUUGAUGUUGUGAAGCAAUUUGUGCGGAGACUAGACUUAGUGUCUGUCGCACAAGCAAAUUGCGAACUCAUCGAUUUAUCGUCCAAAGACGAAUUUUUUAUUGAAAGCCUUCGCUAAAGGAUCAGCCUAUGUCCUAUCAGCUUGUUGGUGAGGUAAUGGCUCACCAAGGCUAUGACGGGUAUCCGGCCUGAGAGGGUGAUCGGACACACUGGAACUGAGACACGGUCCAGACUCCUACGGGAGGCAGCAGUAGGGAAUAUUGCUCAAUGGGGGAAACCCUGAAGCAGCAACGCCGCGUGGAGGAUGAAGGUUUUAGGAUUGUAAACUCCUUUUGUAAGAGAAGAUUAUGACGGUAUCUUACGAAUAAGCACCGGCUAACUCCGUGCCAGCAGCCGCGGUAAUACGGAGGGUGCAAGCGUUACUCGGAAUCACUGGGCGUAAAGAGCGCGUAGGCGGGAGAGUAAGUCAGAUGUGAAAUCCUGUAGCUUAACUACAGAACUGCAUUUGAAACUACUUUUCUAGAGUAUGGGAGAGGUAGGUGGAAUUCUUGGUGUAGGGGUAAAAUCCGUAGAGAUCAAGAGGAAUACUCAUUGCGAAGGCGACCUGCUGGAACAUUACUGACGCUGAUGCGCGAAAGCGUGGGGAGCAAACAGGAUUAGAUACCCUGGUAGUCCACGCCCUAAACGAUGAAUGCUAGUUGUUGCCCUGCUUGUCAGGGCAGUAAUGCAGCUAACGCAUUAAGCAUUCCGCCUGGGGAGUACGGUCGCAAGAUUAAAACUCAAAGGAAUAGACGGGGACCCGCACAAGCGGUGGAGCAUGUGGUUUAAUUCGAAGAUACGCGAAGAACCUUACCUAGGCUUGACAUUGAUAGAAUCCGCUAGAGAUAGUGGAGUGCUGGCUUGCCAGAGCUUGAAAACAGGUGCUGCACGGCUGUCGUCAGCUCGUGUCGUGAGAUGUUGGGUUAAGUCCCGCAACGAGCGCAACCCUCGUCCUUAGUUGCUAGCAGUUCGGCUGAGCACUCUAAGGAGACUGCCUUCGUAAGGAGGAGGAAGGUGAGGACGACGUCAAGUCAUCAUGGCCCUUACGCCUAGGGCUACACACGUGCUACAAUGGGACAUACAAAAAGAUGCAAUACCGCGAGGUGGAGCAAAUCUCUAAAAUGUCUCUCAGUUCGGAUUGUAGUCUGCAACUCGACUACAUAAAGCUGGAAUCGCUAGUAAUCGUGAAUCAGCAAUGUCACGGUGAAUACGUUCCCGGGUCUUGUACUCACCGCCCGUCACACCAUGGGAGUUGUAUUCGCCUUAAGUCGGGAUACUAAAUUGGUUACCGCCCACGGCGGAUGCAGCGACUGGGGUGAAGUCGUAACAAGGUAACCGUAGGUGAACCUGCGGUUGGAUCACCUCCUUUCUA